CCUUUUGAAGGGAACGAUUGAAGUCAGUCAUGCCGGCGGGAAUCAACUUGGGGGAAACUUUAAGUGCACUUCACGUUUGGCAGGUCAGCAUCGAUUUUGGAUGUCAUAAAAUGAUUGGGGGAAGGUAGCUCCUUCGGGAGUGUUAUAGCCCUUGGUAGAUGUGAUGUCUGGGACCGAGGAUUGCAACGGAUACCCUUUGGGCUAGCCGCCUGAUCUCUAACUGGUGUUGGGUUACGGACAGCAUGCUGACCGUGAUUUAAUUAUUGGUUAAAAGGUUAGAGCGAGUGUAAAUUCGUUAAGGAUGUUGACGUA
rnacentral:rRNA from 1 species